rnacentral:tRNA from 1 species
UCCUGGGUGGCUCAGAUGGUAAAGUGUCUGCUAACAAUGCAGGAGGCCCAGGUUCGAUCCCUGGGUCAGGAA